GUGAGACAGGUUAGUUUUACCCUACUGAUGAAGCGUUGUUGCCACAGUAAUCCUGCUCAGUACGAGAGGAACCGCAGAUUCAGACAUUUGGUUCAUGUGCCUUGGCUGAUAAGCCAAUGGUGCGAAGCUACCAUCUGAGGGAUUAUGACUGAACGCCUCUAAGUCAGAAUCCCGCCUGGAAAGCGACGAUGCAUUCGUGCCUCGGCCUCGAGAGGCGUAGCUAGACGGCCGCGUGGCCGUGGAAAGAGCCCGAUUCCGACCCGAGAGGCCGCGGCAAGAGGCGGCCUCGAAGUCGGUGGAUCCUCCUGCUCGAAAGGCGGGGUGCUAAACCAUUCGCAGACGACCUAGUUGAAGAUCGGGGUGUCGUGAUCACUAGAGCAGUACAUCUCACUGCGAUUUGUUGAGAGUAAGCCUCAAGAUCUGUCGGUUUGU
rnacentral:ncRNA from 1 species